rnacentral:rRNA from 1 species
GACGAACGCUGGCGGCGUGCUUAACACAUGCAAGUCGAACGGUGAAGCGCCUUCCUCUUUGGUGGUUGUGGAUGAGUGGCGAACGGGUGAGUAACACGUGAGUAAGCUGCCCCCUUCUUCUGGAUAACCGCAUGAAAGUGUGGCUAAUACGGGAUAGUCUGGGACUGUCGCAUGAUGGGUCUGGGCAAGAUAGUGUUUCGGUGGGGGAUGGGAUCGCGGCCUAUGAGCUUGUUGGUGGGGUGAUGGCCUACGAAGGCGGUGAUGGGUGGCCGGCCGGGGAGGGUGACCGGUCACGGUGGGACUGAGACCCGGCGCAGACUCCGGCGGGAGGCAGAGGUGAGGAAUAUUGAACGAUGGGAGCAAGGCUGAUGCAGCGACGCCGCGUGAGGGAUGGAGGCCGUAGGGUUGUGAACCUCUUUCGCGAGGGAAGGAGGCCUGCCUCGUUUGUGGGUGGGUUGACGGUAGCUGGAUAAGAAGCGCCGGCUAACUACGUG